UACAGAGGCCCCAAGCGUUACUGAGAAUCACUGGGUUUAAAGGGUGCGUAGGUGGCGCGUUAAGUCCGUUGUGAAAUCCCUGGGCUCAACCCAGGAAAUGCUUCGGAUACUGGCGUGCUUGAGGCUAGUAGGGGUCACUGGAACUGACGGUGGAGCGGUGAAAUGCGUAGAUAUCGAGAGGAACACCAGUGGCGAAGGCGAGUCCCUGGACAACACCUGACACUGAGGCACGAAAGCUAGGGGAGCAAACAGG
rnacentral:rRNA from 1 species